UUUUUCACAACCCCGAAUUUCACUUCCUUGUGAAGAGGCAAGGAUAAAAUCGUUAGACGAGAAGACCCUGUCGAGCUUAUAGCAAAAGUUUAGCCUCUACCAUAUUUAAGCUGCCCUAAUUUUUGAUGAUAGGCAAAAUAAAUUUUGGGGGACUAACCAAAGCUUUGGUUGGGGCAACCGCGGAGCAGGAAAACCCUCCGCUAAUACAAUAAACAAUUAAAGUAAGAACAACAAUUCUAAAAUCAAAAAUGAAAGAGUGAUCCACUUAGGUGACCAAAGGAACAAGUUACCGCA
rnacentral:rRNA from 1 species